rnacentral:misc_RNA from 1 species
AAAAUGCUAAAUCCCAAUAAUUUUUCUAACAUUUUUCUUAAAUUUGAGUUACCGUUAGCCAACAAAAAUAAGCUGGCAAUUAUCGAAAUAAUAUCAAUGUCAUUGAAUAAAAUACUUCUACCUAAUCUAAGAAUAUCAUAUAAAAUAAAUAGUGUAAAAUUCUUCCCAUUUGAAACUUGUGUUGCACUUGGCCACCAUGCGGAAGUAGAAUUCCCUCCAACUGGCAAAGCCUGCAAGUUGUCCGACAAGAAUGCGUUAUUGUGUUGAAUG